UCUUAAGAUGAGCAAAGACUGUGGUUUCUUGAGAUGGAAUCUACUCCUGGUGAGGAUGCUGUGAA
rnacentral:pre_miRNA from 1 species